CACUUGACAAGAUGGCUAAAAUUAUUAUAUUAAGUAUAAUUCUCCUGAGUCUUAAAGCAAUGGCGAUAUCUUCUCUCAACAUCCAGCAAUCACCAAAACAUCUACUAAUGACACCUGAGCAGAAUGAAGCGAAGCUCAACUGCCGGCAUGGUGAUACCAACUAUCCCUACAUGUACUGGUAUCAACAAAAGGCAGUUGGUGGCAUAGUUGAGCUCAUUGGAAUGCUCCAUUAUGAAAAAUUCACUCCUGAGGAGAAGUUUAAAGCACGAUUCAACAUUUCAGGACACUCAAAAGAGGAUGCAUUUCUGCUCAUAUCCAGUAUAACUCCUGAGGACAGUGCAGUAUAUUUCUGUGCUGCUAGUAAGCACAGCCACACACUUUCCCUCUCUGUUUAACAAAAAGCUUCACACCAAACACCUGCAAAUAAGAUCUGUUCUGUGAUUAGUACCGUCUGUAAUAGUACGCAAUAUAGGAAGUGUACAGUAGAGGUCACUGAUAAAACUGGUAGCAUGUUGAAGAUGUGAAGACCAUCUCCCCACACAAUCCCGCAUGAUCUUUACUUAUGAGA